UACGUAGGGGGCUAGCGUUGUCCGGAAUCAUUGGGCGUAAAGAGCGUGUAGGCGGCCCGGUAAGUCCGCUGUGAAAGUCGGGGGCUCAACCCUCGAAUGCCGGUGGAUACUGUCGGGCUAGAGUGCGGAAGAGGCGAGUGGAAUUCCUGGUGUAGCGGUGAAAUGCGCAGAUAUCAGGAGGAACACCAAUUGCGAAGGCAGCUCGCUGGGACGUAACUGACGCUGAGGCGCGAAAGCUAGGGGAGCGAACGGG
rnacentral:rRNA from 1 species